CCCCCUUCGCCGGUAACCUUCACCCCCUCUCCCACCCGCCGCCGUUCACAAAACCCUCACCCCUUCACCACCCAUCGCCGACCACCCCUUACCUCGCCACCGCCAUCACACAGCAGAUUUAUUCCACAAUCCCACCAUAUCUCACUUCAAAUUCGGAGUUUCACUUGGGGAAUCAACAUACAACCGAAAAUUUUUCUUAUUUUUCUCUUGUUUCUCACCAAUCCAAGAAUGUCACGUGCAGGAACUUCAAGUCGGACCAACAGGAAACGAGGCUGAGACACUCGCUCAGGAAAGGGCCCAGUGGGACACAGGCGGGUGAUGAGGUGUUGGAUGAUGCGGAGUAGAGCGAGGAUGCAGCGAGGAGGACAGCUUAUAUCUUUUGUUUAUUUUUAUCUUUAUGCUGUUUUUAAUCCUCGUCUAUUGGUUUGUACUUAAAUACAUUAAACAAGUUGGUUGGGAUUUUGGGGUUGGUUGAUAUAAUUGUGGAUGGUUGUUGAACGUGAUAUUAUAUAUUAUCUUUUGCUA